rnacentral:lncRNA from 1 species
CUCCUAACGCUUGGAUAAGGUGCCUAAACUAUUCGCUUAUGAGAUCCCAUGAAAAGGUGUUGGUUCAUUAUGACAGUAGGACGGUGGUCAUGGAAGUCGAAAUCCGCUAAGGAGUGUGUAACAACUCACCUACCGAAUGAACUAGCCCUGAAAAUGGAUGGCGCUACAGCGGAUUACCGAUACCAAGCCAUAAAAAAAAAAAAAAAAAAAAAAAGAAGCAAUUUUUUUUUUUUUUUUGCUUUAUUACUGUGUAUGUAAUAUAUUUUUUUAUUGCUUCAUCUACUCACCUUAGAGUGUGUUUUAAUUAUGAUUAUAUAUUUAUUUUUUUUUUUUUAAAAAAAAAAUUGUAUAUAUAAUUAUAUAGCACUCUUAAUUUUUAUGUGCCAACUCAGAACUGAAACGGACA